rnacentral:rRNA from 1 species
AUUGAACGCUGGCGGCGUGCCUAAUACAUGCAAGUCGAACGAGUGGCGGACGGGUGAGUAACACGUGGGUAACCUACACACAGAGGGGGAUAACUACUGGAAACGGUGGCUAAUACCGCAUACUAUAGGAUGAACCAAUAUGGGAUUAGCUAGUAGGUGGGGGAAAGGGUCACCUAGGCGACGAUCUCUAGCUGGUCUGAGAGGAUGCUCAGCCACCCUGGGACUGCGACACGGCCCAUACUCCUACGGGAGGCAGCAGUGGGGAAUAUUGCACAAUGGGCGCAAGCCUGAUGCAGCCAUGCCGCGUGUAUGAAGAAGGCCUUAGGGUUGUAAAGUACUGUCAGCGGGGAGGCGUUACCCGCAGAAGAAGCACCGGCUAACUCCGUGCCAGCCGCCGCGGUAAUAC